UCUGCCCCUGACUCUGGGAUAAGCGUUGGAAACGACGUCUAAUACCGGAUACGAGCUGCGACCGCAUGGUCAGCAGUUGGAAAGAAUUUCGGUCAGGGAUGAGCUCGCGGCCUAUCAGCUUGUUGGUGAGGUAAUGGCUCACCAAGGCGUCGACGGGUAGCCGGCCUGAGAGGGUGACCGGCCACACUGGGACUGAGACACGGCCCAGACUCCUACGGGAGGCAGCAGUGGGGAAUAUUGCACAAUGGGCGCAAGCCUGAUGCAGCAACGCCGCGUGAGGGACGACGGCCUUCGGGUUGUAAACCUCUUUUAGCAAGGAAGAAGCGAAAGUGACGGUACUUGCAGAAAAAGCGCCGGCUAACUACGUG
rnacentral:rRNA from 1 species